rnacentral:lncRNA from 1 species
GCAUAUCACAGAGAGAUGCAUAGAUGUUACACUCAGAAAGAGAGUGAACAACUAGAAGAUGUGGAAGAACCAGUUUGGCUCUGGAGUCAAGAAUUCUCAAAACAGCUUUCUGAACCUGAAUCGCACGCAGUAAAGCUGGUGUUCUCCUGAAGCCAACAUUUAUGGUAUCACCUUGCUGAUCCAGGCAAAAUGGCAAAAGUGUAGUGAACAUAAAGCCAGGGGCUGAGAUUGUGGAUGUCCUCUGUACCAAGUUUCUUAUUAUGGCUUAGAAUAUAAACUGACACCUUGAAGAAGUGACCAUCUUGUAAUCAACACUUUAUUCUAAGGAUAACAGAGAUAAAUGAUAUAAGGAUCUCUGUUUCUUAAUGGCAUUGUUGAGCCCUAAACUUUCUACUGCUAGAUAUUUUAUCGCAUGAAAUAAAUAAGCCUUAGUUGCUUAAAA